AAAAAUAGUCUAAAAAAUAACCUAGACCCUAGGAGUGGAAUCCGCCGCUGGACACCAAAUACAGACCCCCCAUCGGAUUGAUCUUCUUCUUCACUUGGAUGAACCAAGACGUGAACCAGCCGCAGAACCCAUAAACGAUCACCCCAUAUCCUCCAUUAACCUAGACAUCAUCCAUCUUCCCCUUAAUCGCCGCUUCUGAUUCUCACUUUCAGGGCCGACGUAGACCUCCUAACACACACAGCACACAACCUAAGCCUUGAACCCUAGAGAACGCCCAACACCCUUUUCCUCUAGCAGUAGCGUCACACCAACAAGAGCAGCGAUCCCAACUCCUUCCUCUCAGAUCUAGACAACCCCAGCCCUUCACCAAACAACCAGCGACCACCGACUAUUAUCUUCAGUCCGAAACGAGAGCCACGACGGUGAGGAAAAAUUUCUGCUUUCCCUUCUCGUUCUUUGGUUGUCGUCGGAAAAAAAAGAAAAAAAAAGAACAGAGUGAGAGAUUGAUGGAGGAACGGAUGCUCCGACUGAGUAAUGGGGGUAGCGAGGCUGUCCGGUCAGAGCUCAUGAGAUUUCCGGCUUAGAUUUUAUUCGCGGUCCUGUUCGUUCCGUCGAUUAGCAUUUUCAGAUUGUAUGUAUACUGAACAGGCCCUUGGCCAUUGAAUCAUACAAUUGAAGAUUUGGAUCAAUCUGUUGCCUCAUUAUCAAAUGUCAUAUGAAUACUUGGGCUGAAUUUCGGAUUUUAAUAGUAGUUCUGUUUUGUCCUAUUUUUAUCCCAUUCAGCAAGUUAGAACUUAGUUUUAAAUGUAUGUAGCAUUUAUCCUUUGUGUAUGAUCAAAUUCUGCAAAGUUUGUUUUGUGAAAUUCAGCUUGUUUACAUGGCUAUUAAGGCUAGUGUCCAAGUAUAGACUGUAUAAGGUAUUCUGGGAGUAUUACACUAUAUGUGAGUUCCACUUGCUCAGGGAUUUAAUUUAAAGCUCCUAUCCACGUUGAUGUUCUGUUAA